ACUAAAGCACCAAAGGCAAUGACUCCUUCUAGAAUUGCUGAUUCCUUCCAAGUCAUAAAGAACAGCCCCUUGUCGGAGUGGCUUAUCAGGCCCCCAUACAAAGAAGGAAGUCCCAAGGAAGUGCCUGGUACUGAAGACAGAGCUGGCAAACAGAAAUUACUUAAUUCACCUCUACAGGAGGAACAUAACUUCCCCCCAGACCAUUAUGGCCUCCCUGCAGUUUGUGA
rnacentral:lncRNA from 1 species